AGUGAACGCUGGCGGUAGGCCUAACACAUGCAAGUCGAACGGCAGCACAGAGGAGCUUGCUCCUUGGGUGGCGAGUGGCGGACGGGUGAGGAAUACAUCGGAAUCUACUCUGUCGUGGGGGAUAACGUAGGGAAACUUACGCUAAUACCGCAUACGACCUACGGGCGAAAGCAGGGGAUCUUCGGACCUUGCGCGAUUGAAUGAGCCUAUAUCGGAUUAGCUCGUUGGCGGGGUAAAGGCCCACCAAGGCGACGGUCCGUAGCUGGUCUGAGAGGAUGAUCAGCCACACUGGAACUAAGACACGGUCCAGACUCCUACGGGAGGCAGCAGUGGGGAAUAUUGGACAAUGGGCGCAAGCCUGAUCCAGCCAUACCGCGUGGGUGAAGAAGGCCUUCGGGUUGUAAAGCCCUUUUGUUGGGAAAGAAAUCCAUCUGGUUAAUACCCGUGUGGGAUGACGGUACCCAAAGAAUAAGCACCGGCUAACUUCGUGCCAGCCGCCGCAGUAA
rnacentral:rRNA from 1 species